AGAACGAACGCUGGCGGCAUGCCUAAUACAUGCAAGUCGAACGAACUCUUCGGAGUUAGUGGCGCACGGGUGCGUAACGCGUGGGAAUCUGCCCCUUGGUUCGGAAUAACAGUUGGAAACGACUGCUAAUACCGGAUGAUGACGAAAGUCCAAAGAUUUAUCGCCAAGGGAUGAGCCCGCGUAGGAUUAGCUAGUUGGUGAGGUAAGGCUCACAGGC
rnacentral:rRNA from 1 species